CUACGUGCCAGCAGCCGCGGUAAUACGGAGGAUGCGAGCGUUAUCCGGAUUUAUUGGGUUUAAAGGGUGCGUAGGCGGCCUGUUAAGUCAGCGGUGAAAUCUAGGAGCUUAACUCCUAAAUUGCCAUUGAUACUGGCGGGCUUGAGUGUAGAUGAGGUAGGCGGAAUGCGUGGUGUAGCGGUGAAAUGCUUAGAUAUCAUGAAGAACUCCGAUUGCGAAGGCAGCAUACGGGAGUGUAACUGACGCUUAAGCUCGAAGGUGCGGGUAUCGAACAGGAUUAGAUACCCUAGUAGUCCACGCCGUAAACGAUGAAUACUAAGUAUUGGGGAAACUCAGUGCUGCAGCUAACGCAAUAAGUAUUCCGCCUGUGGAGUAUGCACGCAAGUGUGAAACAUAAAGGAAUUGACGGGGGCCCGCACAAGCGGUGGAGUAUGUGGUUUAAUUCGACGCAACGCGAAGAACCUUACCAGGCCUUGACAUCCCUUGCAAAGCUGUAGAGAUA
rnacentral:rRNA from 1 species